UACGUAGGGUCCAAGCGUUAUCCGGAAUUACUGGGCGUAAAGAGUAUGUAGGUGGAUGUUUAAGUGAGAUGCGAAAUCUUUCGGCUCAACCGGAAGACUGUGUCUCAUACUGGAUGUCUUGAGGUUGGCAGAGGCAAGUGGAAUUACCGGUGUAGCAGUGAAAUGCGUAGAUAUCGGUAGGAACACCAAUGGCGAAGGCAGCUUGCUGGGCCACACCUGACACUGAGAUACGAAAGCGUGGGGAGCGAACAGG
rnacentral:rRNA from 1 species